AGCGAAGUAGAUACACGUGCAUCGCUUCCAAAGGAAGGGGCGACUAACUCUGUGCCAGCAGUCGCGGUAAUACAGAGGCCCCGAGCGUUAAUCGGAAUCUCUGGGCUUAAAGGGUGCGCAGGCGGAUCGGAUAGUGUUUUGUGAAAUCCCUCGGCUCAACCGGGGAACAUGCAGGCAUACUACCGAUCUUGAGACAGGUAGGGGUCGAUGGAACCAUGGGUGGAGCGGUGAAAUGCGUAGAUAUCCAUGGGAACGCCAAUGGCGAAGGCAGUCGACUGGGCCUGUUCUGACGCUCAGGCACGAAAGCGUGGGGAGCAAACAGGAUUAGAUACCCUGGUAGUCCACGCCGUAAACGAUGCACACUAGAUCGGAGUCGCUCUGACGCGCCUCUGGUCGACGUAAAAACAUUAAGUGUGCCGCCUGGGGAGUACGGUCGCAAGGCUAAACUCAAAGGAAUUGACGGA
rnacentral:rRNA from 1 species